rnacentral:hammerhead_ribozyme from 1 species
AUUCAGCUGACGAGUCCCAAAUAGGACGAAACACGAGUCCUGGUU